rnacentral:rRNA from 1 species
UACGUAGGGCGCAAGCGUUAUCCGGAAUUAUUGGGCGUAAAGGGUGCGUAGGCGGUUUGGUAAGUCUGAUGUGAAAUCUAUGGGCUCAACUCAUAGUCUGCAUCGGAAACUGCCGGGCUUGAGUGUGGGAGAGGUGAGUGGAAUUCCUGGUGUAGCGGUGAAAUGCGUAGAUAUCAGGAGGAACACCUGUGGCGAAAGCGGCUCACUGGACCAUAACUGACGCUGAUGCACGAAAGCUAGGGGAGCAAACAGG